rnacentral:rRNA from 1 species
GAUGAACGCUGGCGGCGUGCCUAAUACAUGCCAGUCGAGCGAACAGAUAAGGAGCUUGCUCCCUUGACGUUAGCGGCGGACGGGUGAGUAACACGUGGGUAACCUACCUAUAAGACUGGAAUAACUCCGGGAAACCGGGGCUAAUGCCGGAUAACAUUUAGAACCGCAUGGUUCUAAAGUGAAAGAUGGUUUUGCUAUCACUUAUAGAUGGACCCGCGCCGUAUUAGCUAGUUGGUAAGGUAACGGCUUACCAAGGCAACGAUACGUAGCCGACCUGAGAGGGUGAUCGGCCGCACUGGAACUGAGACACGGUCCAGACUCCUACGGGAGGCAGCAGUAGGGAAUCUUCCGCAAUGGGCGAAAGCCUGACGGAGCAACGCCGCGUGAGUGAUGAAGGUCUUCGGAUCGUAAAACUCUGUUAUUAGGGAAGAACAAAUGUGUAAGUAACUGUGCACGUCUUGACGGUACCUAAUCAGAAAGCCACGGCUAACUACGUG